UCUUCUCUGGUAUAUCGGUAGAACAUCACCCUGUCAUUUGGGCGCCUAGCCCAGAUUCCCACGGCCGGUGAAGAGCUGGGUUCGACUCCCAGGAGGAGAG